AUGCCCUCAAACAGCGAGUCAAUCUCAAUGGUGGUCUGUGCAGUGGAGGAGAGAGUCCUCUUUGCCCUCUCACAGGAUGUCCUCAGCCUCCGAAGAGCUCUCGGGUUGCCACUGAUGUCCUUCUUGUUCUUCCUCUUGAACUCCUGGACGAAGUGUGUCACCAGCUGUGGCUUUAACCUCAAAGAUGCCCUCCUCAAUGGUGAGAAGAGAGACAUCAAAGGUACCACCUCCAAGAUCAAAGAUGAGGACAUUCUUCUCACCAACACUGGAAGCCUUCUUGUCAAGACCAUAAGCAAUGGCAGCAGCUGUUGGCUCGUUGAUGAUACGAAGGACAUUGAUGCCAGCAAUGACACCAGCAUCCUUGGUAGCCUGCCUCUGCGAGUCAUUGAAGUAUGCAGGUACAGUGACAACAGCAUUCUUCACAGUGCUGCCAAGGAAAGCUUCUGCAAUCUCACGCAUCUUGAUGAGGACCAUAGAGGAUAUCUCCUCAGCUGCAAACUGCUUCUCCUCACCCUUGUACUGGACAUUAAUCAUAGGCUUGUCACCAGGUCCAGCAACAACCUUGAAGGGCCACAGCUUAAUGUCACUCUGGACAGUUGA
rnacentral:rRNA from 1 species